UUAUCGACAUUGAAAUACAUCCAAACUCUUUCUUUCUCUCUUUCUCUCUCUUAAAAACCAAUGUCACACCUGCAGAUCUUCAAAGAUCUCUCCUCUUCUCCCUCUGCCCUGCCUUCUAAUCACGAACAAAUUCCGAUAGAAUUGAUGACCUCGAUGUUGCCUCUGGUGAGAGAUCUCCUUACAUCGUCGCCUCACCUCCUCGCUGAUGUUCUUAUACGAUGUUUCCUUACCACUUCCAUAUUUUGACCCAUCUCAUCUACUCUCCUAAUUCUCUAGAUCCUUAAUUUAUCAUCGCCUCCACCCUUCCAAUGCCUGACAUCGGUCAUGAGUUUGCCGCCUUAUAGUUCCAAUAUCAAAUUUCACCUGAUGUGUUGAAGAUCGAAAGAAGAUGAAGGUGAAAGUUGUUCUAGAGUUCCAACGAGAUGUUUUCUCAUAAAGAGUUAUCUCUGACGUCCCUGUAUGAAUGAAAUUUGAAAUUAAAUUUUUUAUCAGCUCCUGUGACCUUGUAAUCGUCCAAAUCAAUCAUCGGUGUACGGUUAGAUUCUAAUGUUUCAUGCUGCUUUUACAUUUUGAUCUCGGUUAUUCCAACAAAUGCUUUAAUUUAGUAUAUUUUGGUUACCAUACGAGGGUGAGGGUGAGAGUGAGAUGUGAAGGUUAUCUAACUAAUCACUUAUAUCUACCUCAACUCAUUUCAUAAACAAUGCAAAUUGUUGCUGAUGAAUCCAGCUAGAGUAACUGAUUAUGGUGGUUAUCAUCAUUUUCCUCAGGAUUUGUUGAUGUUGACCUGUUGGUGAUGAAUUCAAAUUGAUUUUUUUCUGGAAUUCCCAGAAGGUGUUUGAUGUUUUUUCCAUAUGUAGUUAUGUUUGUUCAGGGUAGGAUUAAUAUUCAUAUCUUCUCUCACAUGUUUGCUUACCUCCUUGAAAUGAUCUUACUAAACAUAUAUGUCUGGAGCUCUUGCUCUAGGGUGUAAUGGUUUUCAAGUUAAUAAUUAUCAUAUAUGUGUUGAUAUUCUUUAUGUUCUUCUUGCAUUAAAGUAGAUUGUAAGUCCAUGUUGCCACCAAACUUAGGACCUGGAGAUGGAAAUGCUCUAGCAACUCCGCUUCCACCAGGGACAUACAUGACCGGAAUAUGCUUCAGGGAUCAAUGAUAGUUGAACACAUACCCGCUUGACCGCAAUCUUGUCUUUGAUUACUUUGCACUUUCUUAUUUCUAUGAUUACACAUGCAACAAUGAACAACUCGGGAUGCGCUCAAUUCACGCUUUAAACAUCUCUCAUCUUUCAUAAGUUUUUCUUUCCAUUCAGUUUUCAAUUCAAGUGUUAUCUCUAAUCUGUAUAGAAUGAGAUUAUGAUCGAGUCUUUACAUACAGUAGAAUGAGAAUGAUCGAGGUCACGCUCAAGGGAACGUGCUCGGGAUUAUGAUCGUCAAAGGCGUUAUGAUCGACACUAGCCAUGAAGUAAAGCGGAUGAGAAAGAAGGUUUCUUUAUAUUGAUUUGGAAGAAUAUUGGAAAAAAUUGAAGAGUGAAAAGUGAUAAAUUGAAGAAAAUAUAUAAAUCUUGACACAAAGACAUGAAAGCGCUUUGAAAUUUUGUAGCAUUUUUUUUGUAUGGAAUAAAAUACUUAUACCAUUGUGUUUAUAAAUUAGUAAAUAAAAAUUGGUUUUUU